rfam:Arthrobotrys oligospora ATCC 24927 unplaced genomic scaffold scaffold00048, whole genome shotgun sequence.
UGCGGACUGGUGUAGUGGAGAACAUUACCGGCUCAUGCCCGGUAGAGGUGAGGUUCGAUUCCUCUGUCCGCAU